AGUCCUUCCCCUCAGCUGCAGUGCUUCACUCCGCAAAACAAGAAACAGCAACAUGGGACUUUUCUAGUACAUUCCUUGGGAAACUUGGUAUGUCCUGCUUGAAAGAAAAGCCCAAAUAAGACUGCCAAGAUCAUCCAGAGGGACAGCCAGAACAGGAAGCCAGUCUAACUGCACUCUGAUGACA
rnacentral:lncRNA from 1 species